UACGUAGGGCGCAAGCGUUGUCCGGAAUUAUUGGGCGUAAAGAGCUCGUAGGCGGUCUGUCACGUCUGCCGUGAAAACCCGAGGCUUAACCUCGUGGCUUGCGGUGGAUACGGGCAGACUAGAGGUAGGUAGGGGAGAAUGGAAUUCCCGGUGUAGCGGUGAAAUGCGCAGAUAUCGGGAGGAACACCGGUGGCGAAGGCGGUUCUCUGGGCCUUACCUGACGCUGAGGAGCGAAAGCGUGGGGAGCAAACAGG
rnacentral:rRNA from 1 species